rnacentral:tRNA from 1 species
AGUCCCAUAGUCUAGUGGUCAAGGAUUAUUGGUUCUGGGCCAAUCGACCCAGGUUCGAAUCCUGGUGGGGCUA